GAUCCUGGCUCAGGACGAACGCUGGCGGCGUGCUUAACACAUGCAAGUCGAACGAGAGCGUAGAGAAAGCUUGCUUUUUCUACAAUCUAGUGGCAAACGGGUGAGUAACGCGUAAACAACCUGCCCUACGGAUGGGGACAACAGCUGGAAACGGCUGCUAAUACCGAAUACGUUCCGAAAGUCGCAUGACUGUCGGAAGAAAGGAUGGCCUCUAUUUAUAAGCUAUCGCCGGAGGAGGGGUUUNCGU
rnacentral:rRNA from 1 species